CCGCCCAGAGGUAAACGGGUGGAUCCGCAUAGUCGGUCCGCGGAAUUCAGCGCGGCGCGCGGUCCGGGGCUGCUGCUGUUCGGGAUCCUUCUGGAACCGACAGCGGUGCCGAGCCGGGCCCCGCCGCGUGCACUUUCCGCGGACGGAGAGCCACAACCGGUUUGGUUGGGCGGUCACGAGCCGGAAUUGUUGUCGGUGGGGGCGCUUGCGUCCCCACCAGCCUUUCUUGGCGAGCCGCCCGCAGACCGUGGAACCGCCGCGCGCUUCGAGGCCACCCUCCCUUCCGGGUGAGUUCGACAGGGAGAGACUGGGCAACCGUGUCUCCCGACCGCUCACUCGCGACCGGCGUGGGGCUGGCCGGGCGAGCAUUUUGGGUUGGUGGCAAGUCUGUCGGCACUCCACCCGACCCGUCUUGAAACACGGACCAAGGAGUCUAACAUGCGCGCGAGUCAUUGGGAUUUACGAAACCCAAAGGCGCAGUGAAAGCGAGGGCCUGUCAAAGGGCCCAGGUGGGAUCCUAUCACUCCCUCGGCGCCGAG
rnacentral:rRNA from 1 species